rnacentral:rRNA from 1 species
UUCCUGCAUUUUCAAUUAAGCGGAGGAAAAGAAACUAACAAGGAUUCCCCUAGUAACGGCGAGCGAAGCGGGAAGAGCUCAAAUUUGAAAGCUGGCACCUCCGGUGUCCGCGUUGUAAUCUCGAGACGUGUUUUCCGUGCGGCUCUAUGGACAAGUCCCUUGGAAUAGGGCAUCGUAGAGGGUGAGAAUCCCGUACUUGCCAUGGAAGAACCGUGCUUUGCGAUACACGCUCUAAGAGUCGAGUUGUUUGGGAUUGCAGCUCAAAAUGGGUGGUAGACUCCAUCUAAAGCUAAAUAUCGGGGAGAGACCGAUAGCGAACAAGUACCGUGAGGGAAAGAUGAAAAGCACUUUGGAAAGAGAGUUAAAAGUACGUGAAAUUGUCGAAAGGGAAGCACUUGAAGUCAGCCAUGCUGCUUGAGACUCAGCCUGGCCUUUGGGCUUGGUGUAUUUCUCGGUGGCAAGCCAGCAUUGGUUUGGGUCGUCGGAGAAGCGCAUAGGGAAUGUAGCGUUUCCGGACGUGUUAUAGCCUUAUGCAGGAUAAGACGACCUGGAUCAAGGAACGCAGUGUGC